AUACAGGGCAUUUUAUGCUCUGUAAUUGGAAUGAUGGGAAUGUAAAACCCUUCCAGAGUAACAAUUGGAGGGCAAGUCUGGUGCCAGCAGCCGCGGUAAUUCCAGCUCCAAUAGUGUAUAUUAGAGUUGUUGCAGUUAAAAAGCUCGUAGUUGGAUUUCUGCUGUGGUCAUCCGGUACCGCCCGUAUGGGUGCGCACCUGGUUUGGCUGCGGCUUUCUUCCUGUAGCCGUCCGCGCUUAAUUGCGUGUGUUGUGUUACGGAACUUUUACUUUGAGAAAAAUAGAGUGUUUCAAGCAGGCUUGUCGCCCUGAAUACUUCAGCAUGGAAUAAUAGGAUAGGACCUUGGUUCUAUUUUGUUGGUUUCUAGGACCAAGGUAAUGAUUAAUAGGGACAGUUGGGGGCAUUCGUAUUUAACUGUCAGAGGUGAAAUUCUUAGAUUUGUUAAAGACGAACUACUGCGAAAGCAUUUGCCAAGGAUGUUUUCAUUAAUCAAGAACGACAGUAGGGGGUUUGAAGACGAUUAGAUACCGUCGUAAUCUCUACCAUAAACUAUGCUG
rnacentral:rRNA from 1 species